GACGAAGGUGGCGAGCGUUGUUCGGAAUCACUGGGCAUAAAGCGCACGUAGGCGGCGGCGUAAGUCGGAUGUGAAAUCCCUCGGCCCAACCGAGGAACUGCGUCCGAUACUGCGUUGCUUGAGGACCAAAGGGGUGCAUGGAAUUUCCGGUGGAGCGGUGAAAUGCGUUGAUAUCGGAAGGAACGUCGGCGGCGAAAGCGGUGCACUGGUUGGUCUCUGACGCUGAGGUGCGAAAGCCAGGGGAGCAAACGGG
rnacentral:rRNA from 1 species